GAGGUCGUGUGGUGAAAUAGUUUCGGAUAUAUGGUUUUGGUCACUAAAGAAAAAUGCGCAGUUCAGUCCAAGAUCUCAGUUCGAACGGACAGCGGAGAAAUUCUUAAGAGUUUAGAAGAAUAAAUUUUAUUUAAGUGACCAAUAUGGGCAAAGGCAAAGGCGGUGGCGGAGGCGGUGCUGGUGGCAACCCAGGAGGCAAUCAAAAAGGUGGAGGAGGCAAAUCGAAAGGUGGAAAUGAAAAUAAAAGUGCUGCUGGAGGUAAGGGACCAGAAAAAGGAGGAAAAAAGGGUGGCAAUAAAAAAUAGCAGCGGAGAUCUGGUGAGCUUCAACCCCUUUCCCGGAGAGCAUCCUCAACAGAUGGCCUUUCGGAAGAGAUAAAUUGGACUGUGAAAUUUUUUGGCUACGGUUUUGAGUCGGACCAAAUUCUUACUUUAUAAGUAUUCCUUUUUCUGUGUUUAAAUAUUGUGUGUAUUAUUUUUAAGACGCAUUAAAAUUAGGCGAAGUUGAAGAAAGUUGAAGACGAAAAAGUAUUAAACGCAACAAUUGAUGAA